rnacentral:rRNA from 1 species
GACGAACGCUGGCGGCGUGCCUAACACAUGCAAGUCGAACGGAGUAGAGAGCUUCGGUUUUCUACUUAGUGGCGAACGGGUGAGUAACGCGUGAGGAACCUGCCUCUCAGUGGGGGACAACAGUUGGAAACGACUGCUAAUACCGCAUAACAUGUACGGAUCGCAUGGUCUGUACAUCAAAGCUUUAUGUGCUGAGAGAUGGCCUCGCGUCUGAUCAGCUAGUAGGCGGGGUAACGGCCCACCUAGGCGACGAUCAGUAGCCGGUCUGAGAGGAUGAACGGCCACAUUGGGACUGAGAUACGGCCCAGACUCCUACGGGAGGCAGCAGUGGGGAAUAUUGGGCAAUGGGGGAAACCCUGACCCAGCAACCCCGCGUGAAGGAAGAAGGCCCUCGGGUUGUAAACUUCUUUUACCAGGGACGAAGAACGUGACGGUACCUGGAGAAAAAGCCACGGCUAACUACGUGCCAGCAGCCGCCGUAACAC